GAAAACAAACUUUAGUUUGGGAGAGAGAGACUCGAAUCUGCUUUCUCCUUUGUUGUUCCACUUGUCCCACGUACACAUAUUCUUCUUCUUCGACCUUUUCCUCGUAUUCAUUUGCCACGAUCAACACCCCAUCCACCCACCUUUAUUCUCUUACUCUCUCUCCCUCUCUUGGCGUAUAUAAGAAUACAUCAUCACAGAGAGCUCGCUAGCUAGCUAAAAUUAUCAAGAUUUUGA
rnacentral:lncRNA from 1 species